UACAGAGGUCUCAAGCGUUGUUCGGAUUCAUUGGGCGUAAAGGGUGCGUAGGCGGCGCGGUAAGUCGGGUGUGAAAUCUCGGAGCUUAACUCCGAAACUGCAUUCGAUACUGCCGUGCUUGAGGACUGGAGAGGAGACUGGAAUUUACGGUGUAGCGGUGAAAUGCGUAGAUAUCGUAAGGAAGACCAGUGGCGAAGGCGGGUCCCUGGACAACGACUGACACUGAGGCACGAAAGCUAGGGGAGCAAACAGG
rnacentral:rRNA from 1 species